rnacentral:rRNA from 1 species
AUUGAACGCUGGCGGCAUGCUUUACACAUGCAAGUCGAACGGUAACAGGCCCUUCGGGGUGCUGACGAGUGGCGGACGGGUGAGUAAUGCUUAGGAUCUGCCUAGUAGUGGGGGAUAACCCGGGAAACUCGGGCUAAUACCGCAUACGCCCUACGGGGAAAGCGGGGACUUUCGGCCUCGCGCUAUUAGAUGAGCCUAAGUCCGAUUAGCUA